GUGAGGAAUUUUCCGCAAUGGGCGAAAGCCUGACGGAGCAAUGCCGCGUGAAGGAUGAAGGCCUAUGGGUUGUAAACUUCUUUUCUCAGAAAAGAAUUAUGACGGUAUCUGAGGAAUAAGCAUCGGCUAACUCUGUGCCAGCAGCCGCGGUAAGACAGAGGAUGCAAGCGUUAUCCGGCAUGAUUGGGCGUAAAGCGUCUGUAGGUUGUUUAAAAAGUAUUCUGUCAAAGAUUAGGGCUUAACCCUAGAGAGGCAGAAUAAACUUUUAAGCUAGAGUGUGGUAGAGGCAGAGGGAAUUCCCGGUGGAGCGGUGAAAUGCGUAGAUAUCGGGAGGAACACCAAAGGCGAAGGCACUCUGCUGGGCCAAUACUAACACUGAGAGACGAAAGCGAGGGGAGCAAAUGGGAUUAGAAACCCCAGUAGUCC
rnacentral:rRNA from 1 species